rnacentral:tRNA from 1 species
AGGGGCGUGGUUCAAUGGUAGAGCAUCGGUCUCCAAAACCGUGGACGCGGUUCGAUUCCUGCCGCCCCUGCCA